AUCAAACUUUUUUUUAUGAGAAGCAAAACGCAAAAGUAAUUGCAGUGCUUCAAUUUAGCAAAAAAGAGAUUUUUACGGGUGGUAUAUAUUAAAACUUUUAACUGAAAAAAGGAAGGCGCAUAAAGUGUGUUUUCCGAAACCUUUAUCAUUAUUUUGUAAUUUCAUUUUGAUGAAUUGUUCUAUAUGACUUAGGCCUGCCGGGGAAACAACGUUGACCACGGAAUAACAACAGAUGCAGAAGGUGACAUGGAAAAUACACAGAUGAUAAGAUUUUCAUCGAAUACUGAUGUAUUAGUUUCCUAUGCAACUGUAAAAGAUUUUGUUGCCUACAGAGAUAACCGAUAUGGAUCUAUUUAUAUAAGGAAUUUAUCUAAACUUCUCUUUCAACAAGGAUUUACAACAAAACUUACAGAUAUAUUAACUGAAGUCACUGCUACCACAUCUAGAGAGUUGGCCAAUGUUUGCCAGGUUCCUAGUUUUACAUCAACUUUGACUAAGUCACUUCUAUUUACACGCAAAAAAAGAGUAAUAAAAAAGACUUUACAUUAUGAUGAUGGGACGCAUGAAGAAUUUGAUAAUGAUGAAUCGUUAGGACUUCCGUGAGGACUAUAACAUAAGAACCUCUUGUCCCCUCUGAAAUCUGUCGAUUGAUACAUGGGUGGUAGAAGACAGGUAUUCGUUGAACUGAACUAUGAUGAGACCGCGUGCCGAUAAAAUAAGUUCAAUUCUUGAAAAGGACGCGACGUGCAGAAAAAGUAAAAAUGUAAAAUGAAAUAAUAAAUGAAUGAAUCAUUAACAAAUGAUGAAUGUUUGUUGGCAUAA